AGGAGAUGCUAUGGGAGUGCAAGCAGCUUGGGGCUCACUCCCCCUCCACCUUGCUGACCACCCUCAUGUUCUUUAAUACCAAGUAAGUGUUCUAGAGGCUCCACUGCUGGCAUCUGUCCAGUGAAGAGUGUGGAAGCUAUCCAAGAGGCCUUCUGAAUUCCUCUGACAUAUAUUUGAGAAACUGGGCUACUGAAAGCCCUAACCCCACUUGGCUGCAUUUUAUUUGGUAACCAGUGAGGCAAACACCCUUGCCAGACCCCUACCAUCCAUCUUGAUGUGGUUCCUGCACUGGACACUGCUUGGGUACUUCCUAUUGAAGACAGUGGACCAGCACAUGAAGCUGGCCUUCUCCAAGGUCUUGCGACAGACAAAGAAGAACCCCUCUAAUCCCAAGGAUAAAAGCACGAGUAUCCGGUACUUGAAGGCCCUUGGAAUACACCAGACUGGCCAGAAAGUUACAGAUGACAUGUAUGCAGAACAGACGGAAAAUCCAGAGAAUCCAUUGAGAUGUCCCAUCAAGCUCUAUGAUUUCUACCUCUUCAAAUG
rnacentral:lncRNA from 1 species